rnacentral:rRNA from 1 species
AGUGAACGCUGGCGGUAGGCCUAACACAUGCAAGUCGAACGGCAGCACAGUAAGAGCUUGCUCUUACGGGUGGCGAGUGGCGGACCGGUGAGGAAUACAUCGGAAUCUACUUUUUCGUGGGGGAUAACGUAGGGAAACUUACGCUAAUACCGCAUACGACCUACGGGUGAAAGCAGGGGAUCUUCGGACCUUGCGCGAUUGAAUGAGCCGAUGUCGGAUUAGCUAGUUGGCGGGGUAAAGGCCCACCAAGGCGACGAUCCGUAGCUGGUCUGAGAGGAUGAUCAGCCACACUGGAACUGAGACACGGUCCAGACUCCUACGGGAGGCAGCAGUGGGGAAUAUUGGACAAUGGGCGCAAGCCUGAUCCAGCCAUACCGCGUGGGUGAAGAAGGCCUUCGGGUUGUAAAGCACUUUUGUUGGGAAAGAAAAGCAGCAGGUUAAUACCCCGCUGUUCUGACGGUACACAAAGAAUAAGCACCGGCUAACUUCGUG